rnacentral:rRNA from 1 species
CCUACGGGUGGCAGCAGUGGGGAAUAUUGCACAAUGGGGGAAACCCUGAUGCAGCGACGCCGCGUGAGUGAAGAAGUAUUUCGGUAUGUAAAGCUCUAUCAGCAGGGAAGAAAAUGACGGUACCUGAGCAAGAAGCCCCGGCUAACUACGUGCCAGCAGCCGCGGUCAUACGUAGGGGGCAAGCGUUAUCCGGAUUUACUGGGUGUAAAGGGAGCGUAGACGGUUGCACAAGUCUGGAGUGAAAGGCUGGGGCCUAACCCCGGGACUGCUUUGGAAACUGUGCAGCUGGAGUGCAGGAGAGGUAAGUGGAAUUCCUAGUGUAGCGGUGAAAUGCGUAGAUAUUAGGAGGAACACCAGUGGCGAAGGCGGCUUACUGGACUGUAACUGACGUUGAGGCUCGAAAGCGUGGGGAGCAAACAGGAUUAGAUACCCGGGUAGUC